rnacentral:misc_RNA from 1 species
GAUGAAGAACGUAGCGAAAUGCGAUAAGUAGUGUGAAUUGCAGAAUUCAUUGAAUCAUCGAAUCUUUGAACGCACAUUGCGCCCUUUGGUAUUCCUUAGGGCAUGCCUGUUCGAGCGUCAUUUAAACCUUCAAGCUAAGCUUGGUGUUGGGUGACUGUCCGCUUCACGGCGGACUCGCCUCAAAAUUAUUGGCGGCCGGUACAUUGGCUUCGAGCGCAGCAGAAACGCGAACUCGGGCCCGUCGUAUUGGCUCCCAGAAGCUAUCUUCACAAUUUUGACCUCGGAUCAGGUAGGGAUACCCGCUGAACUUAAGCAUAUCAAUAAGCGGAGGA